ACGGACUAAGACAGUAGUUGGGACGGAAAGAGGCAUUGUGUCUGAGACAUUUAGGAAUUAGACUUGAUAGGAUAUGACGGUUUAGUCGUCAAAGAUGAUUGCCAGGUUUCUGGUUUUGCAAAUGGGCUCUUGGGGUCACCACUCACAGAGACAGGGAAUACGGAAGUAGGCCGAGAGGGACUGGGUGAGCUGAGUUUGGACACGCUGAGCUUGUGGGGUCUGUGGAUACACGGUUUUAGGGUGCUGAGAGUGAUCAGGGUUGAAGUGGGGUUUUGAGAGUCGUCAGCUCACAGCUGGUGGUUGGAGGCGUGGGAGUGGAUGGGUCCCCUAGGCAGAGACACUAUGGAGAGAAGAGAGAUGGGUAGCAGGCAGGACAGUGUGCGACUACGAGAUUCAGGGGACAAAAGGAGGCAAAAAAGGACCCUAGGAGUGGCCAGAGAAGUAGGAAAAAGAAUCCCAAGAGGAUGUGGUGGCCUGAAGUCAAGGAAAAUGGUGUCUCAAGGAGAGAGUGGUCCUCAGUGCUAAAUGCUGCCUGAAAGGUCUAUGAGUAAGGUGGAGGCUGCCGAGCGCCCUUUGCAUUCUGGAACAAGACAUUUUCGUCUCUUUGGCUGGAGAGGAUUUAGUGGAGUGACAGAAGCAGAAGCCAGAUUGAGGAUACAAGUGGAGGUGAGAAAGUGGACACUAAAAACUAGGUGAAGCGUGUGUGUGUCAGGGUAGGGGGUUAGGGUGACAGCCCAUGGCAAUAAUGAGAGGAUGUGGACUGAAGGGGGCUUUGUUUUUCAGCAUGGGAGGGAUUGGGCGUUUAAUGCUAAUGGAAAUAUUCUAGCAGAACAUAGUAGAAGGAGAGGUUGUGAAAUAUUAUCUGUGUCCACCAUGUAACAAAGGGACACAGAAACCAAGGCUGACGAUGACUCUCACUUAUUACUCAGAUCAAAUAGGUGCUAUUUUCAGAAGUGGCUCCUUUAGGAAGAAUGUAUGUGAUCAUCUGGAUUUGAGAACUUAUAUUUGAAUUCAACUUUUCCACAUGGGCUGCUGACCCAAGUGACCGGAUUUAGUGGAAUUCAUUGUGACAGCAAACUGCUCCAGCAGCCAUACUGGGAACUUCAACGUCAAUGUCAAGAAGGCAUCAAUGGAACUUUUGGUUACUUUCUUUUGAAUUCUACCCUUAGCACAUUGGAGAUAGAUACAAAACCGACCUUUCCAGUUCUCUAGAGAGACCCUCCCCCACCUCCAAACAAAAUUCAGGAGUGAUACUUAAAAGACGAGAAAGAACUACACGGAUCAAAACCAACAGGGUGGGAAGGAAAAUAUACAGGGAAUGGUCACUUCAUGGGGGUUUUCAAAAUGAGACAUUUUAUUUCCCAAAGAAAUAUGGCCAGAACUGUUUCGGCACCGAAGAAUGUUUCUUGGUUGUUUACUUUUUAAUUUUUAACUAGACUCUCCUGGGGAGCAGGGACUACCUCCAGUCCCCUAGCUCAUUUUCGUCCCACGGGACUGUCUGGGAUUUUGGUCCCAGGUGAAGCACUGAAUUGUAAUUUGGGGUGAGGUGGCGGGGUGAGUGAUCUGGGCAUGCUCAGUUCAGAAAGGGUUGCUCAGACGUCUGGUUAUGUAAAAUGAGAGGAAACAGUAAUCAGGCUAAGGGAAUUGUCAAAGGAAUAUGUGGUCUAUAUUUCUAGAGAAUCUGAGAGGACAAACUCCCUCAUAAAUCUACCAGAUGGUGCAAAGCCAAUGACAACAUAUGUAUGUAGUUCCCAAGUGAAUUCCUCUCCCUUGCAUCGAAGCCUAUUUUAACACUCACGUUGAGUUACGAGGAGAACGCCAGCUACUGAGUUCCCUAUAUUACAGUAGAGAUGCAGCCUGUGGUUAUGUGCACAAGGGUGACGAUGGAUGUCUGUAGAGUCAUUGUGGUAUUGGCAAGUCAUCUAGUAGAUAUUUAUUUGUUUCACUUCUGUUGUUAAUUCCCUAAAAGAGCUCUGAAGGGUUCCCAUUAACCGGAGGAUGCAGAACUCGCUGCCUUGUAUCUGAGAAGCCACAACAGCCACGCGUUCCUCUUGAGCCACGCACGCUCAAGGAGGCUUACUUUACUCUGGCUGUCUCCCCUCUCGCGAGGUCUCCCUGACAUGAAAUCUGUGGGUAACUCCACUUAAAGUAGAGUUUCUCUACCCUGGCUGCACUUUACAAUUACCCUGGGGUUCUGGAAAAUACAUGUGGGUGAGACCCACCUGAGACCAAUUAAGUCAGACUCUCCGGGGGUUGGGACCCAGGCAUUUCUUGUUCUAAAAUUUCCCCAGGCAAUUCUAAUCUGCAGAUUUGAGGUUCAUGGAUUAAAGUUCUAGGAAAGAUGAUGUCCCUUUGGUCUUAUUUGGAUGGGUAAAAUUUGCAUGAACACAGCAACCUUAUGCAUCAGAACUGGUAUUUUAUUUCGAAAGCAGUCACCGCCAGUGUUGCUCUGGUCUCAGAAUCACAAGGUUGACCGAGGGACCCCCUUUACCAUGCCACUAUCUCAUAAGAGUCCCCUGUCUUUGCUUAUUGUAGUUUUGUUAAUAAUAAAAAAUAAAAAGAAUCUUAUGAUCAGAUGAGAGUAGAUUAGUUAAAUAAAUAUGGGAUAGCCCCAAAGUGGAAUAUUACACAGGCAUUAAAAGCAAUUAUGCAACUGUUUAUUCACAUUCAUUUAUUUAAGAACUAUGUUUAGAGAACCUCUUGUGUGCCAAAUAUUGCUCUAGGCUCUAGGAAUAUAGCGGCAAAGAAGAAAGGCAUUAGCAUUUUUUUAAAAGGAAGUUUAAAAACAGCAUACAUAUUAUGAUAAUACUUUGUAACAUAUAGGUUAAAAAUAUGGAAGCUAUAUAUUAAAAAGUUAAUGUAAUUAAAGUGUUAAUUGACAUAUCUGUGUGAUGGGAUUGAAGAUGAUUUUAAUUUUCUUUUAUUUUUUGGAUUUUUUUCUAUGCUGGGCGUUUAUUACUUAUGUAAUUUUAUGUGUAUCAGGUAUAUUCCAUUCCGUUUCUCAAUGUCCCGCAACUCUAAUAGGAACGUGUUAAGUGACUUGUCCCAUAGCCGGGGCAACAGUAUGGCUGGGCUUAAAGGUCAGCCAGAGGCUGCAGAAGAUCAUUGUCUUUUUAAACCUGGCAGUGCCAAGCUGACUGUCGAGGUUUAAAGCGUAUUAAAUAAAAAAUUACAAUAAUACUCCAAGGCUUUCUUACUCUUUACUUUUAUCAGCUUGUUUUUCUGUUCAAGAGCCUGAGAUGUUAGGAGCUCAAAAAGUACUUGUUGAAUAAAGGAGUGAAUGAAUGAUUGCAAGGCUGGUUAACCUGUGCCGAUUCAUUCACAUGCAAUAUUGAAAGUAGCCACGAGAUGGCGGUAAAGUUUAAAAAGUGAAAGUAGCAGGGUUUCAGUAAAAAUCCCCCGGGUUAGGCGUGGAAGACGUGUUCCUGGGCCGACUGCCGUUCCGGGGAGCUAACAGCCAAGACAGAGUGAGGAUUCUCCGCCUGGGGAGUCUUCCCUCCCUUACCCCGCUCGGCAGAGGGCGCAGAUAGCAAUAGAAAUGGGAGUUCUUGACUCUUCUCUCCCUUGAACGACAGGGCUGCUUUGCUGAAUCGGGACGUCCAUGUGACUCCUGAUUUAAGAAAGGGUUUUAGCCUUGAGAGAGCUGCCUGUGGGGAGAGGCCCUCAGCUGUUAUCCCCGAGGGAGACGUAGUAUCUGCAGUAGUGGUGGAAGAAGAGAAAAGACGAAAGCAAAUGGUUUCUUUGCCUUUGGUCCGUCUGAAGGCUGGAAGGGGGGCUGCCAGGUUGGUGGAAAGCUAAUGGUGUUAGCUGUUAUCCUGCAGGCUAGCCGGCGCAGCGGGUCACAGGGGGCAGGGAUAAGGGGCGCCCAGAACACGUUUUAAAAAUCCCAUAUAUAAUAAUGAAGAGAUCAUGGGGCCAUCUUGCAUAUAUCUAGAACCUGUCCGGGGAUUAGCUAGCCAGUUUAUGACUUAUCUUGCUGCUUACUAACUUUUAAGCCAUGCUGUUGCUUAUUAUCCUGAUAGCAAUUCCAGUGGAGAAUGUGCAGAGGUGCGGAGAGCGGGAGAACCUUAUAGCAGCAAUGCUCUCCUGUUGACGAAUAAAAGUUUAUUGAAAGAUAACAGCAAAGUCUUGGUCCCCUUGACUCUAUUUUUGGAUUUCAAAUUUCCAGCCUACAUAGCAUCUGUGUAGCUGAUGCAAAGAGCAUAGACUCUGCAGUCAGCCAGCUGGGAGCUCAGCUUCAGCGGGGGACAUGAUCCUCUGAGCUAUGUGAUCAUUUUUGAGCUUCCGGUUUUCUCACCUCUACAAGGGACCUACAGAGUCAGGGAAUCAUGUUUAUAAAGGACCUAGCAUGGUCCAGCACAUAGUAAGGGCUGGAAUAAUGGGAUUUUCCUUCUUUUCCAAUCUAAUUUUUAGCCACAUUACUGGCUUAAGUGUGUUGCCUGGACACCCUUUAUUCUGUCAAGACUAUAAUUGUUCUCUGCCUCCUCCCUCUCUGAAAGCCUAUUUUUCUCCCUUCUUUGCCUUAAGAAAUCCCAGCAUUACUUCAGAGCCGGGCUCAGGUGGGCUGCCUCUUCUCAGAACCCCACUGCCCCAUCCCUGAACGGCCUUCUAAGGAACCCUCCUCUCCUGGCCUCACUCACAUCACUGUAGAACUUGUCUGAGCCAGUUGGAGAUGGUAGUUUCCACGUCUCCCACCUUCCCUGCCCCACACAAGCAGACAACCACUUUAAUGUGAGAGUAUAGUAUGCAUGGUUUGCUUUAUCACAAUGCAACCAGGAGCCAAUAUCUUAAGGUCAAGGUAGAAUGAGAGAGCUCUUCUCCAUUUCGUCAGGCUUCUGGGACAGGGUUUUAAAUGUGGGGCUGUCUGGGCCGGAUGCCAAGGAUCAGGGACCUUCCCUGAAGUCCACAGGGAUGCACGGCCACCUCGUGCCCGUCGGUAGAUAUCAGCACACAUGAGUGGUGCCCUUAGAUUGCACUGUCUCCAGGUAACCUGUGAUAACGCUGCUGAUUCCCGCCCCCGGGCCGCAGCAGCAUCCCACUGGAGUCAUUAAGCUUCCUGCUGGUCCAGCGUCUCCUUCAAACAGGUGCUCUCAAAGGCCUUUGCAUGAGGCUGCUGGAGACCCAUUAAUCACCUCUCAAUGGGUGUACACAAAGCUGUCCUGUUACAUUUAGGAUAAUGGAAUCACUUUCAGCAUGGUUUAAUGGGCGGUGCAUAGAUCUGUGCCCAGGAUCCAAAUCAGCAAACCCCAGUCCACGGAAGGAGAGUGUACAAACUCAACCACUGUGCCACCGGGCUGGCCCCUGUUUGCCUCUGCCGUAGGCACUCUGCUAAGUGCUCUGGAAUCAGGUGAAAAAGCAUGACUUUGUUCUCAAGGAGCAACAGACACUAAAGAGGCAACUACAGUCCAACAUGAGAUGAGCAGGAAGCACGUAUUAGAAAAUUUCUGAAAUUUUACGUGAGUCUGUCACUUGAUCUUUCCUCACUGGAAGGCACAGGCUCUGAUCAUCCCCAUAUGAGGAAGAGUCAGCUGAUGCCAGAGAGUGAAUGAGCCCCUGCGGGGAGAAAACCAUCUGAUUCCAAAGCCUGAAUUCUUGACGGCAAUGUGCAGUCUUGAAAAUGACUCUACCUUCACCCUAAAUGGACAUCCAAGUGUUUGAUGAUCAUAUGCUGAGCUUCAGAAGGAAACAGCCUCAUACACCCCAAAACACACACAUCACAGGCAUGACAAUCAUACAAGCAUGUGUGCAAGUCAUUUUACUGCAGCCCGUUGAAGACUUUUCGCAUCCACGCUGAUGGCUUUGUUCUGAACUUUGCCUAAGGGUGCUGCAGGUUUGGGGCAAUUUUUUCUUGAUGUAAAUUUUGGAAUCAA